rnacentral:rRNA from 1 species
CAGUCGCCGCGGUAAUACGAGGGGGGCAAGCGUUGUUCGGAAUUAUUGGGCGUAAAGGGUGCGUAGGCGGUUUGGCAAGUUUGGUGUGAAAUCUUCGGGCUCAACUCGAAGUCUGCAUCGAAAACUGCCGGGCUUGAGUAUGGGAGAGGUGAGUGGAAUUUCCGGUGUAGCGGUGAAAUGCGUAGAUAUCGGAAGGAACACCUGUGGCGAAAGCGGCUCACUGGACCAUAACUGACGCUGAUGCACGAAAGCUAGGGGAGCAAACAGGAUUAGAUACCCCUGUAGUCCCUGUCUCUUAUAA